rnacentral:pre_miRNA from 1 species
UUGGCAAGUCUGCUUGGCACUGGGGAAUCCUUUGUGUUAAAUGUAAGGCUUUUACAUGGUUGUAUCAUAGAAUUCCCCCGUACCGAGUGGACUUGUUCA